ensembl:misc_RNA
AGAGCGCGUGUGGCCGCCGAGCACAUGGGCCCGCGGGCCGAGCGGGCUCGGGGAGGCCGGGACGAGGAGGGGCGACGAGGAGCUGCGAGCAAGGAUGUGCCUCGGGACCCCCCGCACCUUCCCGUGGAUUUCCUUGCUGAAAGGAUGUUGGCGGACCCUGUGACCUGUGGAGACACGGCUAGAUCUGCCCUCCA